AGCACAGCAGGAACAAGUCACCAGGCCGGGCUGGGUGGGCGUGGCCUGAGCGGCACGCUGACUUCAUCACUGUCACCUCCUCCCGGCCUCUGCCUGCGCCCCCUUCCCACCCACAGGACGGCAACACCCGGUGACUCCCUGACCUGGCUGUAACCAUGUAAACUAGAGGUCCAGCAUGGUGGCACAUGACUGUAGUCCCAGCCACUCAGGAGGCUGAGGCAUGAGAAUCGCUUGAACCCAGGAGGCGGAGUUUGUGAGAUGGGGAUCACUACAUGGCCCAGGCUGCUCUCGAAUGGCUAGGCUCAAGCAAUCCUUCCACCUUGGCCUCCUGUGAUGCUCUGAGAUUACAGAUGGGAGCCAUUGCACCCAGCCCUGCCCUGACAUCUCUCUAGAAGAGACAGGCCCUGAUCCCCCAAGGCUCCAGGAACAGAAAAACAUUGCCAACUCUGCCCAAGGAGCAGUCACCGUCUGAAGGGGGCAUUCCCUGCAGGAAGAACCCCCACUCUCACUCAGACACAAGAGGAAAUGGAACGAUCGGUGUGAACGGGACGUUUCAGAAGCUUUCCUGUUUCCCUCUCCAAGGCCUGUCAGCUCCAGACUCUGCCUCUGUGCCCGGCUGUCCUGCUUGUUUGUAAGGCACAGAAAGGAACACAGCCGGGCCCUGUUUACGGCCCAUCUGACCCUACAGUGGGAGCAGGUCCCAGGCUGCCCAGUUCACACAGGGCUGACCGCACUGAAGAGAGUUGCUCAAAACC